rnacentral:tRNA from 1 species
AGAUAUACAAAGGACUUCUAAUUCUUAAAUAGCUAAAAGCUAUAUCUU